rnacentral:lncRNA from 1 species
UAGACCUUACUAGCUGUAUCUUUCAUUUGAUACUGUCUGGGGUCUAUAGUCUCUGUUUCGACCUUGCUAGUUGUAUCUUUCAUUUGAUACUGUCUGGGGUCUAUAGUCUCUGUUUCGACCUUGCUAGCUGUAUCUUUCAUUUGAUACUGUCUGGGGUCUAUAGUCUCUGUUUCGACCUUGCUAGCUGUAUCUUUCAUUUGAUACUGUCUGGGGUCUAUAGUAUCUGUUUCGACCUUACCAGCUGUAUCUUUCAUUUGAUAAUGUCUGGGGUCUAUAGUCUUUGUUUUGACCUUGCGAGAGAUACUUUUCAUUUGGUAUCGUCUUCGAUCUAUAUUCACUGUUUUAGACCUUAUCAACU